UUUCCGUAGGUGAACCUGCGGAAGGAUCAUAAUCGGAUUUUGAAACUUCAGGCUGCUGCUGGCUCUCCUCGGAGGGCAUGUGCACGCUUGUUGUCCAUUAUUUCUCCCACUGUGCACAAAUUGUAGACCUUUCAGUAGGCCUAUGUUGUUUUUCACAAUCUCUGAAUGUAAUAGAAUGGUUUUGAAUCUUGGGAAAUACAAUACAACUUUCAGCAACGGAUCUCUUGGCUCUC
rnacentral:misc_RNA from 1 species